GCCAGAAAGCUAGCUCUAACAUAAUAGUUAAACCCAUAAUUUCCAUCACUACUCAUAAACCAAAACACCCAACAACUAAAUCAUUCAACCACCCCAGUACGGGCGACAGAAAAGGACCCAAAGAAGCUAUAGAUAAAGUACCGCAAGGGAAAGCUGAAAAAGAAAUGAAAAAACCCAUAAAAGCAUAAAAAAGCAGAGAAUACCACUUGUACCUUUUGCAUCAUGGUUCAGCCAGUAAAAGUAUGCAAAGAGAUCUCUAGUAUACACCCCCGAAACCCAACGAGCUACUCCAGGACAGCCCAUCCAGGGCCAACCCGUCUCUGUCGCAAAAGAGUGGGAAGAUCUUCGAGUAGAGGCAAAAAACCUACCGAGUCGGGUUAUAGCUGGUUGCCCAGAAAAUGAAUAAUAGUUCAGCCCCGCACAGCCCAAUUCACACUAGUAACACUACAAAAGAUGAAGAGCCACUAACGGGAGUUAAUCAGAAGAGGUACAGCUCCUCUGAUAAAGGACACAACCUUGACAGAAGAUUAAAGAAUAAAAUUAAACAAGGCCACAAGUCUCAGUGGGCCUGAAAGCAGCCACCUGAACAGAAAGCGUUAAAGCUCAGACCAAAAACUAUGCCUUUCAUCAGAUUAAAUAAUCCAAAAUCCCUUUAACCACUGGGCCCCCCCCAUGCACUCAUGGGAGAGAUCAUGCUGAAACGAGUAACAAGAAGAUUGAACUUCUCCAAGCACAAGUGUAAGUCGAACCGGACCCCCCAUCGACAAUUAACGAACCCAAAAACAGAGGGUACUACACCACCACCACCCCAAGUCAAGAAAAUCAUGUUAUAUAAAUCGUUUAUCCUACACAGGAGUGCCAAACCAAGGAAAGACUAAAAGAAAAAAAAGGAACUCGGCAAACCUAAACCCCGCCUGUUUACCAAAAACAUCGCCUCUUGCCACUAUAAGUAUAAGAGGUCCCACCUGCCCUGUGACUAAAAGUUUAACGGCCGCGGUAUCCUAACCGUGCGAAGGUAGCGCAAUCAAUUGCCUUUUAAAUGAAGGCCUGUAUGAAUGGUAUAACGAGGGUUUGACUGUCUCUUUUUUCCAGUCAGUUAAACUGAUCUGUUCGUGCAGAAGCGGACAUAAUUAUACAAGACGAGAAGACCCUAUGGAGCUUUAGACACUAACCAACCAUGAGAAACGACCCAAGACAAUAUCACCCUAAACCCCCAUGGACCUGGAAUAAAAGUCUUAGGUUGGGGCGACCACGGGAGAAAAAAAAGCUCCCGAGCAGACCAGGGAAACCCUGAAGCCAAGAGUUACAACUCUAAGCCACAAAAAUUUUGACUGAAAUGAUCCGGCCACGGCCGAUUAACGAACCAAGUUACCCUAGGGAUAACAGCGCAAUCCCCUCCCAGAGUUCAUAUCGACAAGGGGGUUUACGACCUCGAUGUUGGAUCAGGACAUCCUAAUGGUGCAGCCGCUAUUAAGGGUUCGUUUGUUCAACGAUUAAAGUCCUACGUGAUCUGAGUUCAGACCGGAGUAAUCCAGGUCGGUUUCUAUCUGUAAGACAACCACUCCUAGUACGAAAGGACCGGAGUGGAAAGGCCUAUGCCAAAAGCAAGCCUUCCAUUCACCUGCUGAAGACAAAUAAAACAGACAAAAAUGGGUUACACAAGGCCUAAGAAAAAGGCCACACAAUUCGC
rnacentral:rRNA from 1 species